AUGCAAUCGCGAAGGUUUAGGAACUGCAGAAGUACAAACAGCAAACAACAGGCACAAGUUCAGGGCUCACUUAUUCUUUCAAGUUCAUCCAAAUCUGCUGCACAACAGCAGCAAGUUCAGACACAACCAGACAUAACGCUAGACCACAGCACGGUAGCAACAAAGAACAGACCAGACGAGGACACGCUGACAAUCCCAUCGAAGGACACAGAAAGACAACUGACUUGUGAGCCCAGAGACAUAAGCAGCUCCAUGGCCAGGCACUUACUGGCCACCACGGAGGCGGAGCACCAAGUGAAGGGUGGACUCCUUCUGGAUGUUGUAGUCCGCCAGAGUGCGGCCAUCCUCGAGCUGCUUACCAGCAAAGAUCAGACGCUGCUGGUCCGGUGGGAUGCCCUCCUUGUCCUGGAUCUUCGCCUUCACAUUGUCGAUGGUGUCCGAUGA
rnacentral:rRNA from 1 species